CCUACGGGAGGCAGCAGUGAGGAAUAUUGGUCAAUGGACGAGAGUCUGAACCAGCCAAGUAGCGUGAAGGAUGACUGCCCUAUGGGUUGUAAACUUCUUUUAUAUGGGAAUAAAAUGUUCCACGUGUGGGAUUUUGUAUGUACCAUAUGAAUAAGGAUCGGCUAACUCCGUGCCAGCAGCCGCGGUAAUACGGAGGAUCCGAGCGUUAUCCGGAUUUAUUGGGUUUAAAGGGAGCGUAGGUGGAUUGUUAAGUCAGUUGUGAAAGUUUGCGGCUCAACCGUAAAAUUGCAGUUGAAACUGGCAGUCUUGAGUGCAGUAGAGGUGGGCGGAAUUCGUGGUGUAGCGGUGAAAUGCUUAGAUAUCACGAAGAACGCCGAUUGCGAAGGCAGUUCACUGGACUGCAACUGACACUGAGGCUCGAAAGUGUGGGUAUCAAACAGGAUUAGAUACCCCUGUAGUC
rnacentral:rRNA from 1 species